rnacentral:lncRNA from 13 species
AUGAACCUAAUGAGGAAUUCAGAGUGGGAUGUGUGCUGGAAAGGGCUCACACCUAUAAUCCCGGCACUUUGGGAGGCUAAGGUGGGAGGAUCGCUGGAGCCCACGAGAUCAAGACCAUCCUGGGUCAAUCAAAUGCAUUUACAUGCAUUUUUGUCAAUGGGAAAAUACCACUUUUCAAGGCAUGGCAAGUAUACGAACUCCGGAAAAUUACUCUCACAGGAUGUCAGAUCACCAAGCCGUGCAGCAAUUGGGAUAAAGACCUAAUACAAAGAAUGCUAUUCUGAGAUCCAAAAGAAAUGAAUCACAGACCCAGUUUGUUUCUUUUCACAUCUUUGUAAUACUGAAUACACCCAAGCCUUCCCAAGUCUUUGGUUACUUGGCGUGUUCAGACUAUGUUGACCACAGUCCUAGAGAGAAAAAACAAGUUUUAUGUUAGUUCCUGACUCCAUUGAAAGAUAUGCCAUUUAAAAUGUCCUAGAAGACCUUUUAAAUAUGACUUUGUAUUUAUUUUAGAAUAAAAUUUAAAAUUAAAAAACA